rnacentral:rRNA from 1 species
CCUACGGGAGGCAGCAGUAAGGAAUAUUGGACAAUGGCCGCAAGGCUGAUCCAGCCAUCCAGCGUGCAGGAAGAAGGCCCUAUGGGUUGUAAACUGCUUUUAUCAGGGAAUAAACCUCUGGAUUCACUCCGGAGCUGAAGGUACCUGAAGAAUAAGCACCGGCUAACUCCGUGCCAGCAGCCGCGGUAAUACGGGGGGUGCGAGCGUUAUCCGGAAUUACUGGGUUUAAAGGGUGCGUAGGCGGCUUUGUAAGUCAGGAGUGAAAGUUUGCGGCUCAACCGUAAAAUUGCUUCUGAUACUGCAUGGCUAGAAUUAGGAUGAGGUCAGCGGAAUGUGGCAUGUAGCGGUGAAAUGCAUAGAUAUGCCAUAGAACACCAAUUGCGAAGGCAGCUGGCUAGACCUGGAUUGACGCUGAGGCACGAAAGCGUGGGGAGCGAACAGGAUUAGAUACCCUGGUAGUCCACGCCCUAAACGAUGCUUACUCGACGUAUGGCACUAGUUGUUGUGCGUCCAAGGGAAACCGUUAAGUAAGCCACCUGGGGAGUACGACCGCAAGGUUGAAACUCAAAGGAAUUGACGG